rnacentral:rRNA from 1 species
AUUGAACGCUGGCGGCAGGCCUAACACAUGCAAGUCGAGCGGAUGAAGGGAGCUUGCUCCUGGAUUCAGCGGCGGACGGGUGAGUAAUGCCUAGGAAUCUGCCUGGUAGUGGGGGAUAACGUCCGGAAACGGGCGCUAAUACCGCAUACGUCCUGAGGGAGAAAGUGGGGGAUCUUCGGACCUCACGCUAUCAGAUGAGCCUAGGUCGGAUUAGCUAGUUGGUGGGGUAAAGGCCUACCAAGGCGACGAUCCGUAACUGGUCUGAGAGGAUGAUCAGUCAAACUGGAACUGAGACACGGUCCAGACUCCUACGGGAGGCAGCAGUGGGGAAUAUUGGACGAUGGGCGAAAGCCUGAUCCAGCCAUGCCGCGUGUGUGAAGAAGGUCUUCGGAUUGUAAAGCACUUUAAGUUGGGAGGAAGGGCAGUAAGUUAAUACCGUGCUGUUUUGACGUUACCAACAGAAUAAGCACCGGCUAACUUCGUG